AACGAACGCUGGCGGCAGGCCUAACACAUGCAAGUCGAACGCCCUAGCAAUAGGGAGUGGCGCACGGGUGAGGAACGCGUGGGAACAUACCUUGUAGUACGGAAUAACAGCGGGAAACUGCUGCUAAUACCAUAUACGCCCUUCGGGGGAAAGAUUUAUCGCUAUAAGAUUGGCCCGCGUGAGAUUAGGUAGUUGGUGGGGUAAUGGCCUACCAAGCCGACGAUCUCUAGCUGGUCUGAGAGGAUGAUCAGCCACACUGGAACUGAGACACGGUCCAGACUCCUACGGGAGGCAGCAGUGAGGAAUAUUGGACAAUGGGGGAAACCCUGAUCCAGCCAUGCCGCGUGAGUGAUGAAGGCCUUAGGGUUGUAAAGCUCUUUCGAUGGUGAAGAUAAUGACGGUAACCAUAGAAGAAGCCCCGGCUAACUUCGUGCCAGCCGCCGCCGUAA
rnacentral:rRNA from 1 species